ensembl:lncRNA
AUCCCCCCAAUUGAUAUACAAUUGGAAAUCUAAAGAUGCAUUAAAUCUGGGUUAAACUGUCUGGAGUGGUGGCACAUACUGUAAUUCCAGCAUUGGAAGGUAGAGGCAGGGCAGUUAGGAGUUCAAGUUCAUCUCCAAUACAUAGCAAGGUCUAGGCCAGCCGGGGCUAAAUGAGAUACAACUGAAAAAAAAAAUCAAAUUAAUAAUAAUAACAGAUUAAACCUAGAUCAAAUACAAAUGGAGAAGUUCCAAACUCUUAAGUUUACGAUUUUAGUUCAAAUUGAAAAGGUACAGUGUGCAGUUUGAUAUAUGUGUGCAGUUUGCAAAGAUCAAAUCAUUAUAGUUAACAUUCUAUCUCUGUAACUUAAAGAUCUUUUAUUAGCAUGUAAUAAUUGUAAAUAUUUAUGGGGUACAGUGUAAUCAGAAAUAGUAAGUCUUAGGACUGGAGAGGUGGACUGUAAAGUACUUGCUAUGCAAGCCUGGGGACCUGAGUUCACAUCUCCACCACCCAUGUUUUAAAAAAAUGGACCUUGCAGUACACCUGUAAUGCCAAGGCUUGGAGACAGAUACUGGAGGGUGGGGGACAGGGUACUUGGUAGCCAAAUAGUCUAGCUGAAUCGAUGAUCUCCAGGUCCAGUGAGGGACUCUGUCUCAAAAAUAAUGUGGAAAGCAGUAGAAAAAAAAUGCCAGAAUUCAAACUCUGGCUCCCCAUACAUGUGUACACAUGUGCACACACAUACAUACCAAACACACAUGGGGGGCAUUUGUAAGGAAAGAUGGCACAUAAACGUCAGGUGAGGCCAUUAAACUUCCAACCUUCAGCUGCUGUUUUUUUGCCCAUGAAAAGCUUUGACCCUGAUGUUAGUUCCUGGAACUUGUGAGUUUAUCAAUUGCUAACACUGUAGCUUAUGCAUUGGAACAGGGAAUUUGAGGAGCCAGGAAAAACUGUCUAGAACAUAACAGUUUAAAACUUCACAGUUUAAAAAUUCACACCCUCUAAUGCCAUUCUGCCCCUGACCCACAUAAAACUGAAAUUAUAAACAAAACAAAGUAAGAUAAAGUAUUUACUGAUAAAGCAAUUAGUUAUGUCAACUGAACCUUAUUUUUUUUUUGGCAGACUCCCACUAUGUAACCCUGGCUGGCCUUGAACUCACAGAAAUAUGCCUGUCUGCAGUUGCAUCCUGAGUGCUGGGAUUAAAGGGUUACAGUCUGCUGGCAAUGGAGCUUGAUUAUAAAGGAACAGUGGAUCUUUCCUACUUUUACUUCCCUUCAUGCCUGAACCUAAAGGACCUUUUUGAAGGAAGGAAAUUACUUCCUUUUGGAUGAAGAAAUCCUUGCAUCUACCUGUCUUGGUGUAACACCAAUGUUCUGCCAGGAUGUCUUAGGCAUAAAGAAAUAUGAGGACAGAGGCCACCCUUCCAGAGACAGAAGUGUUUCGUGUCUCCUGUUUCUGGCCCAUGGACUUGGGUAAGCAUUAAAGUGGUCAUCUCCUGCCUUUUAUGGUUCACCAGCCAAUGGGACAAAACCCUUGGAAUCAAGGAUUAGUCUGAUUGCAGGAGUCAAGUGCUUUUCUUCAGUUUGUAUUACUGAUUUUCCAGUGUAGGAACUGGGAAGGGUGGCUGCAGAGGAGAGCAGCAACUCCAGACACACAUGUUGUACACUACAAGGAACCAAACAGAGCAAUUCUAGGACAAUGGGGCCUUUGAAAAUACUGAUUUAUUCUGCAUCUUUUUCACCAUCCUGUGUUGAAGGCGGCCCCUAUCCUCCUUCCUGAGCAGAGCUGCAGCCAUAUGAUCCCGGUGCACUGAAGGGGACACUCUGCAGGACAGAACACUGAAUGCAUUAUGUAGAUCAUUCCUACUAAAGGGGACUCGAUGAAUGCCCCACGAGGGGAAAUGAAACCAUCCCAAAUGGUGGGAUCUUCAGGACACAAGGGAAAGAAAAUCCAGGUGCAGUGUUGUCCCAGUGUGUGCCUUGUGGGAGUUCCCAUGCCUUGGUGGGAGUAAAUGCCCACAAGGAGGUGAACUGGGUGUCUUAGAGCCACUGAGAGAAGUGGACAGGACUUUGGCUUCACCUUUGUGAAUCUCAGCUUCCUAGACAAAAGAAAGUCCGUGUCUUGAUAACAAUCUUCCAGUAGCAGAAAAGAAAGUUACAAUUAAAUAAAGGCUUUAGCCUUAAAUUUUGUCAUGAUGAAAACCAUUUCAAGCCUCAAGGCUUGGCUCCCAUGUUGAAGCUGAAGCUCAGUGAUAUUUAUUUAUUUAUUUUUAAAUAGUUCUUGUUAGUGUAGAAUAAUUGUGCAAAAUAAUGGAUUUACUGUGACAUUUUCGUGUGUGUAUCAUGAGCUUUUUUUAAAAUCCAUUUUCCCUUUAUCAUCAUCUGCCCUUCUCUCUACCUGUCUCUUCUACCUAAAUAGCUCCCCUCUGCCUUUAAGUCUUAUUUAUUUUUUAAGAAUUGAUUCCACAUUUGCAAGAGAACCUGCAAUAUUUGUCUUUCUGGGUCUGGCUUAUUCUGCUUAAAAUGUUAAUAUCCAGUUUCAUCCAUUUUUUCCCCUGCAUAUGUCAUGUCUUUCUUCU